AGAGUUUGAUUCUGGCUCAGGAUGAACGCUGGCGGCGUGCUUAACACAUGCAAGUCGAACGAAGCAUUUUGGAAGGAAGUUUUCGGAUGGAAUUCUUUAAUGACUGAGUGGCGGACGGGUGAGUAACGCGUGGGGAACCUGCCCUAUACAGGGGGAUAACAGCUGGAAACGGCUGCUAAUACCGCAUAAGCGCACAGAAUCGCAUGAUUCGGUGUGAAAAGCUCCGGCAGUAUAGGAUGGUCCCGCGUCUGAUUAGCUGGUUGGCGGGGUAACGGCCCACCAAGGCGACGAUCAGUAGCCGGCUUGAGAGAGUGGACGGCCACAUUGGGACUGAGACACGGCCCAA
rnacentral:rRNA from 1 species